AGUUUGAUCCUGGCUCAGGAUGAACGCCGGCGGUGUGCCUAAUACAUGCAAGUCGUACGCACUGGCCCAACUGAUUGAUGGUGCUUGCACCUGAUUGACGUUGGAUCACCAGUGAGUGGCGGACGGGUGAGUAACACGUAGGUAACCUGCCCCGGAGCGGGGGAUAACAUUUGGAAACAGAUGCUAAUACCGCAUAACAACAAAAGCCACAUGGCUUUUGUUUGAAAGAUGGCUUUGGCUAUCACUCUGGGAUGGACCUGCGGUGCAUUAGCUAGUUGGUAAGGUAACGGCUUACCAAGGCGAUGAUGCAUAGCCGAGUUGAGAGACUGAUCGGCCACAAUGGAACUGAGACACGGUCCAUACUCCUACGGGAGGCAGCAGUAGGGAAUCUUCCACAAUGGGCGCAAGCCUGAUGGAGCAACACCGCGUGAGUGAAGAAGGGUUUCGGCUCGUAAAGCUCUGUUGUUGGAGAAGAACGUGCGUGAGAGUAACUGUUCACGCAGUGACGGUAUCCAACCAGAAAGUCACGGCUAACUACGUGCCAGCAGCCGCGGUAAUACGUAGGUGGCAAGCGUUAUCCGGAUUUAUUGGGCGUAAAGCGAGCGCAGGCGGUUGCUUAGGUCUGAUGUGAAAGCCUUCGGCUUAACCGAAGAAGUGCAUCGGAAACCGGGCGACUUGAGUGCAGAAGAGGACAGUGGAACUCCAUGUGUAGCGGUGGAAUGCGUAAAUAUAUGGAAGAACAGCCAGUGGCGAAAGGCGGCUGUCUGGUCUGCAACUGACGCUGAGGCUCGAAAAGCAUGGGGUAGCGAAACAGAUUUAAAUACCCUGGUAGUCCAUGCCGUAAACGAUGAGUGCUAGGUGUUGGAGGGUUUCCGCCCUUCAGUGCCGGAGCUAACGCAUUAAGCACUCAGCCUGGGGAGUACGACCGCAAGGUUGAAACUCAAAGGAAUUGACGGGGGCCCGCACAAGCGGUGGAGCAUGUGGUUUAAUUCGAAGCUACGCGAAGAACCUUACCAGGUCUUGACAUCUUGCGCUAACCUUAGAGAUAAGGCGUUCCCUUCGGGGACGCAAUGACAGGUGGUGCAUGGUCGUCGUCAGCUCGUGUCGUGAGAUGUUGGGUUAAGUCCCGCAACGAGCGCAACCCUUGUUACUAGUUGCCAGCAUUAAGUUGGGCACUCUAGUGAGACUGCCGGUGACAAACCGGAGGAAGGUGGGGACGACGUCAGAUCAUCAUGCCCCUUAUGACCUGGGCUACACACGUGCUACAAUGGACGGUACAACGGGUCGCAAGCUCGCGAGAGUAAGCUAAUCUCUUAAAGCCGUUCUCAGUUCGGACUGUAGGCUGCAACUCGCCUACACGAAGUCGGAAUCGCUAGUAAUCGCGGAUCAGCAUGCCGCGGUGAAUACGUUCCCGGGCCUUGCAC
rnacentral:rRNA from 1 species